UCUUCCACAAUGGACGAAAGUCUGAUGGAGCAACGCCGCGUGAGUGAAGAAGGUCUUCGGAUCGUAAAACUCUGUUGUUAGAGAAGAACACGAGUGAGAGUAACUGUUCAUUCGAUGACGGUAUCUAACCAGCAAGUAACGUCUAACUACGUGCCAGCAGCCGCGGUAAUACGUAGGUGGCAAGCGUUGUCCGGAUUUAUUGGGCGUAAAGGGAACGCAGGCGGUCUUUUAAGUCUGAUGUGAAAGCCUUCGGCUUAACCGGAGUAGUGCAUUGGAAACUGGAAGACUUGAGUGCAGAAGAGGAGAGUGGAACUCCAUGUGUAGCGGUGAAAUGCGUAGAUAUAUGGAAGAACACCGGUGGCGAAAGCGGCUCUCUGGUCUGUAACUGACGCUGAGGUUCGAAAGCGUGGGUAGCAAACAG
rnacentral:rRNA from 1 species